UGGGCGUAAGCGCGCGCAGGCGGUUUCUUAAGUCUGAUGUGAAAGCCCCCGGCUCAACCGGGGAGGGUCAUUGGAAACUGGGAAACUUGAGUGCAGAAGAGGAAAGUGGAAUUCCAAGUGUAGCGGUGAAAUGCGUAGAGAUUUGGAGGAACACCAGUGGCGAAGGCGACUUUCUGGUCUGUAACUGACGCUGAGGCGCGAAAGCGUGGGGAGCAAACAGGAUUAGAUACCCUGGUACUCCACGCUGUAAACGAUGAGUGCUAAGUGUUAGAGGGUUUCCGCCCUUUACUGC
rnacentral:rRNA from 1 species